rnacentral:rRNA from 1 species
AGCGUACACGGUGGAUGCCCUGGCAGUCAGAGGCGAUGAAGGACGUGCUAAUCUGCGAUAAGCGUCGGUAAGGUGAUAUGAACCGUUAUAACCGGCGAUUUCCGAAUGGGGAAACCCAGUGUGUUUCGACACACUAUCAUUAACUGAAUCCAUAGGUUAAUGAGGCGAACCGGGGGAACUGAAACAUCUAAGUACCCCGAGGAAAAGAAAUCAACCGAGAUUCCCCCAGUAGCGGCGAGCGAACGGGGAGCAGCCCAGAGCCUGAAUCAGUGUGUGUGUUAGUGGAAGCGUCUGGAAAGGCGCGCGAUACAGGGUGACAGCCCCGUACACAAAAAUGCACAUGCUGUGAGCUCGAUGAGUAGGGCGGGACACGUGGUAUCCUGUCUGAAUAUGGGGGGACCAUCCUCCAAGGCUAAAUACUCCUGACUGACCGAUAGUGAACCAGUACCGUGAGGGAAAGGCGAAAAGAACCCCGGCGAGGGGAGUGAAAAAGAACCUGAAACCGUGUACGUACAAGCAGUGGGAGCCUCUUUUAUGGGGUGACUGCGUACCUUUUGUAUAAUGGGUCAGCGACUUAUAUUCUGUAGCAAGGUUAACCGAAUAGGGGAGCCGAAGGGAAACCGAGUCUUAACUGGGCGUUAAGUUGCAGGGUAUAGACCCGAAACCCGGUGAUCUAGCCAUGGGCAGGUUGAAGGUUGGGUAACACUAACUGGAGGACCGAACCGACUAAUGUUGAAAAAUUAGCGGAUGACUUGUGGCUGGGGGUGAAAGGCCAAUCAAACCGGGAGAUAGCUGGUUCUCCCCGAAAGCUAUUUAGGUAGCGCCUCGUGAAUUCAUCUCCGGGGGUAGAGCACUGUUUCGGCAAGGGGGUCAUCCCGACUUACCAACCCGAUGCAAACUGCGAAUACCGGAGAAUGUUAUCACGGGAGACACACGGCGGGUGCUAACGUCCGUCGUGAAGAGGGAAACAACCCAGACCGCCAGCUAAGGUCCCAAAGUCAUGGUUAAGUGGGAAACGAUGUGGGAAGGCCCAGACAGCCAGGAUGUUGGCUUAGAAGCAGCCAUCAUUUAAAGAAAGCGUAAUAGCUCACUGGUCGAGUCGGCCUGCGCGGAAGAUGUAACGGGGCUAAACCAUGCACCGAAGCUGCGGCAGCGACACUAUGUGUUGUUGGGUAGGGGAGCGUUCUGUAAGCCUGUGAAGGUGUACUGUGAGGUAUGCUGGAGGUAUCAGAAGUGCGAAUGCUGACAUAAGUAACGAUAAAGCGGGUGAAAAGCCCGCUCGCCGGAAGACCAAGGGUUCCUGUCCAACGUUAAUCGGGGCAGGGUGAGUCGACCCCUAAGGCGAGGCCGAAAGGCGUAGUCGAUGGGAAACAGGUUAAUAUUCCUGUACUUGGUGUUACUGCGAAGGGGGGACGGAGAAGGCUAUGUUGGCCGGGCGACGGUUGUCCCGGUUUAAGCGUGUAGGCUGGUUUUCCAGGCAAAUCCGGAAAAUCAAGGCUGAGGCGUGAUGACGAGGCACUACGGUGCUGAAGCAACAAAUGCCCUGCUUCCAGGAAAAGCCUCUAAGCAUCAGGUAACAUCAAAUCGUACCCCAAACCGACACAGGUGGUCAGGUAGAGAAUACCAAGGCGCUUGAGAGAACUCGGGUGAAGGAACUAGGCAAAAUGGUGCCGUAACUUCGGGAGAAGGCACGCUGAUAUGUAGGUGAAGUCCCUUGCGGAUGGAGCUGAAAUCAGUCGAAGAUACCAGCUGGCUGCAACUGUUUAUUAAAAACACAGCACUGUGCAAACACGAAAGUGGACGUAUACGGUGUGACGCCUGCCCGGUGCCGGAAGGUUAAUUGAUGGGGUCAGCGCAAGCGAAGCUCUUGAUCGAAGCCCCGGUAAACGGCGGCCGUAACUAUAACGGUCCUAAGGUAGCGAAAUUCCUUGUCGGGUAAGUUCCGACCUGCACGAAUGGCGUAAUGAUGGCCAGGCUGUCUCCACCCGAGACUCAGUGAAAUUGAACUCGCUGUGAAGAUGCAGUGUACCCGCGGCAAGACGGAAAGACCCCGUGAACCUUUACUAUAGCUUGACACUGAACAUUGAGCCUUGAUGUGUAGGAUAGGUGGGAGGCUUAGAAGUGUGGACGCCAGUCUGCAUGGAGCCGACCUUGAAAUACCACCCUUUAAUGUUUGAUGUUCUAACGUUGACCCGUGAUCCGGGUUGCGGACAGUGUCUGGUGGGUAGUUUGACUGGGGCGGUCUCCUCCUAAAGAGUAACGGAGGAGCACGAAGGUUGGCUAAUCCUGGUCGGACAUCAGGAGGUUAGUGCAAUGGCAUAAGCCAGCUUGACUGCGAGCGUGACGGCGCGAGCAGGUGCGAAAGCAGGUCAUAGUGAUCCGGUGGUUCUGAAUGGAAGGGCCAUCGCUCAACGGAUAAAAGGUACUCCGGGGAUAACAGGCUGAUACCGCCCAAGAGUUCAUAUCGACGGCGGUGUUUGGCACCUCGAUGUCGGCUCAUCACAUCCUGGGGCUGAAGUAGGUCCCAAGGGUAUGGCUGUUCGCCAUUUAAAGUGGUACGCGAGCUGGGUUUAGAACGUCGUGAGACAGUUCGGUCCCUAUCUGCCGUGGGCGCUGGAGAACUGAGGGGGGCUGCUCCUAGUACGAGAGGACCGGAGUGGACGCAUCACUGGUGUUCGGGUUGUCAUGCCAAUGGCACUGCCCGGUAGCUAAAUGCGGAAGAGAUAAGUGCUGAAAGCAUCUAAGCACGAAACUUGCCCCGAGAUGAGUUCUCCCUGACUCCUUGA